CAUACGGCAAAUUAAUCGAAAAAGCGAAAAGCAAACUGCAAAGAAAACAAUUGAAAUAUCAAAAUGAAAUGGUUAAAAUGGAAAAAAAUGAUUUUUAUGCGGCAAAUUAAUUGAAGAAGCUGUAAACUGAAAAAAUACGAUUUAAAUAUGAUAUAAGAAGGAAAUGUGUCAGACUAUUUUCUCUGGAGAUAGAAAUGAUUUCAACAGCAAAAAAAUGCCAGACACACAAUACAAAUAACGGAAUUAAAUUGCUUUCGUCACACGGUUUCGAAAUGUAGAAAAAUGCUUAAAAGAGUGAAAAACUAAUCAAGAGCAUUAAGAUCAGCAAAACUCAAGGAAUGAAAUUAAAAUAUCAGAAUG